UACGAAGGGGGCUAGCGUUGCUCGGAAUCACUGGGCGUAAAGCGCACGUAGGCGGCUUUUUAAAUCAGGGGUGAAAUCCUGGAGCUCAACUCCAGAACUGCCUUUGAUACUGAGAAGCUUGAGUCCGGGAGAGGUGAGUGGAACUGCGAGUGUAGAGGUGAAAUUCGUAGAUAUUCGCAAGAACACCAGUGGCGAAGGCGGCUCACUGGCCCGGUACUGACGCUGAGGUGCGAAAGCGUGGGGAGCAAACAGG
rnacentral:rRNA from 1 species